rnacentral:Y_RNA from 1 species
GGCUGGUCCAAAGGUAGUGAGUUAUCUCAAUUAAUUGUUCACAGUCAGUUACAGAUCGAACUCCUUGUUCUACUCUUUCCCCCUUCUCACUACUGCACUUGACUAGUCUUAA